rnacentral:misc_RNA from 1 species
GAUGAAGAACGUAGCGAAAUGCGAUAAGUAAUGUGAAUUGCAGAAUUCAGUGAAUCAUCGAAUCUUUGAACGCACCUUGCGCCCUUUGGCCAUUCCGAAGGGCAUGCCUGUUUGAGUAUCAUGAACACCUCAACUCUUCAUGGUUUUCCAUGAUGAGCUUGGACUUUGGGGGUCUUGCUGGCCUGUGGGUCGGCUCCUCUCAAAUGAAUCAGCUUGCCGGUUUUUGGUGGGCAUCACAGGUGUGAUAACUAUCUACGCUUGUGUUUUUCCACCAGGGUAACCUUCAGCAGUGGAGGUUCACUGGAGCUUACAAAUGUCUCUCCUCUGUGAGGACAGCCCUUUGAAUGUUUGAUCUCAAAUCAGGUAGGACUACCCGCUGAACUUAAGCAUAUCAAUAAGCGGAGGA